GGGGCUGUAGCUCAGUGGUAGAGCACUUACCUCAUGUGAGUGAGGCAUUGGGUUUGAUCCUCAGCACCA
rnacentral:tRNA from 1 species